GAGAAAUGUGCCGGGCUUGCAGCAUCCCGCGGACGUCAUGGCAACCUGUGGGGAGGCAGCCGAAGCCGAGUGUGCGUGCGCAUGAGCGUGUGUGAGCCGUCUGAUGCUAGUGUUGUAGUCUGUAGUGCUGGCCGACCAGGACCGUCAGAGGCGAGAGCAGUGCAGCAGCAGCGGCGGCAGCAGCGGCGGCGGCGGCGGCGGCGGCAGCAUCAGAGGCGGGCGUGAGGCUGCUAUGGAUGCCGCGUCUGGGCUGCCGAUUAGGCUGAUCAGAGCCGGGGCUGCCAUGCAGUGACAGACUACAGGAAGACACACACACACGCUGGAGGAGGGAGAGGAGGGGAGGAGAGUAAACACGCGAAUGAUCCGCUUCUAGACUAUGGCACCGUCGGGCUCGCGUAGUAUGAAGCGGGGCUGUCAGAGAGUUUUGUACUGGAUCCCGGUCCUGUUCAUCGCCCUCAUAGUAGCGUGGUCGUACUACGCCUAUGUUUUGCAGCUCUGCAUAGAGUCCAUUGAAGAUACAGGCGAGAAAGUCGUGUACCUGCUGGUCUACCACGUAGUCUUCGUCAUGUUCGUCUGGGCGUACUGGCAGACCAUCUUCACCCAGGCCGUCAACCCCCUGGAGGAGUUUCACCUGUCGUACUCUGACAAGGAGCUGCUGGAGCGUGAGGACAGGGGGGAGUCUCAGCAGGAGAUCCUGAGGAGAAUAGCCAGAGACCUGCCCAUCUACACCCGCACCAACUCUGGAGCGAUCCGUUUCUGCGAGCGCUGUCAGCUGCUGAAGCCUGAUCGAUGCCACCAUUGUUCAGUCUGUGAUAAAUGCAUCCUGAAGAUGGAUCACCACUGCCCCUGGGUGAACAACUGUGUGGGAUUCUCCAACUACAAGUUCUUUAUGUUGUUCUUGGCGUAUUCUCUGCUCUACUGCCUUUUUAUAACUGCUACAGAUCUUCGAUACUUCAUCAAAUUUUGGACGAACGGCCUCCCGGACACUCAGGCGAAGUUCCACAUCCUGUUCCUCUUCUUCUCGGCCUCCAUGUUCUCCGUCAGCCUCGCCUCGCUUUUCAUCUAUCACUGCUGGCUCGUCUGCAGGAACCGAUCCACUCUGGAGGCCGUUCGCGCCCCUGUGUUUCGUCACGGCACAGACAAGAGUGGCUUCAGUCUGGGCAUCAGUAAGAACUUCCGCCAGGUCUUUGGUGAUGAGGUGAAAUACUGGCCUGUUCCCAUUUUCUCCAGUUUAGGCGACGGCUGCUCAUUUCCAACCUGUCUGGUGAAUCUGGACCCGGAGCAGCCAUCUUCCCCCACUGGCUCCAACCCUGCCAACAAAGCCAGAGGGCCGUCAGUUCCCCUCCAAGCCUCUGAGAGAGAGUCAGAGUCGACUGCUCAGCAGCACCCCCUCCUGGACAGAGGCUGACAACGCAGCCAGCAGAGACCUGAAGGGUGCCAGCAACCUGGGGAUGAGCAUAGAAAACGAGGCAUGACGGGAGCUGACACCUCCCAUCCCCAAAGGUCUGCGUGGCCUCUGUUCAGCGUUGGCGCCUACCAGGACGCGACGUGGUGGUGCUGGUGCUGACCCAUUUUACUUCUCAUCUCUGCUUCUGAGACGUUCAUGCUAUAAUCACAUACAACGUCACCCGCUGCUGCUGCUGCUGCUGCUAUCUGACAAUACUUCCACCUCGGAAACAAAUGCACUGACUUUAACCCGCAUUCCAACAAUAACAGGUCUGUUUGUUUGUAAAAGAAUAAGCACAGGGCAGCAGUGAAAAAGAUAUUUUUGCACUUUGUAUAGUAUGAAUUGAAUCAGAGCUGCUUUUGUAUUUUACAGUUCAUGUGUCAGAAACUCCCAGAAUUCAUCUGGUUUCCUGUUCGAUGGAGUAAAUGGUUUCAUGAGUUUGCCAAACGUUUGCACUGAGUAUUGUAUUAGUAGUGAAGGUAUUGCGAUGUAAAUUAUGACUUCUUAGUUGUUUUCUGGUUCCAAUAAUGUUAAUUUGUUUGUUUGUUUGUUUGGGGGGGUGGUUCUUUUUAUUCGCCAUGCUGAGUGUUGUGGUGGAAGUUCAAAAGAUGCAUGAUGCAAUACAGACAUGUUGAGAUGUUUGCUUGAAGACAAAAAAAGUGUAGACAUUAGUAAUAUUACUGAUAAACAUAACGUACUAAGGGCUCUUGUGACUGGUGAGUGAGGAUGUUGCUGGUCUGACGGUCCGAGCUGCGACAGCGUGUGUCCGUAACCCCCCCCCCCCCCCCCCCCCGCCAAAUAUUUGGCAGGUCACCGUGAAGUACAUGUCAAGCUGCCAGCCAAAAAAAGCUUCCUGCCCGUCUGUCUCUGGAGGGCUGGAGAAAACAAGCCUCGGCGUGAUGCUGCUCACAUUGAAAAAACAGACACACCUCAGUGUUUUUUAUAGGUCACAUGUUGCUGUGGACGUGAUGCAGAGCAAAAUGUAAUAUGUAUAUAGAAAAUACAAAUAUACAGCGUAUCUGCUCCGGGUGCUUUGUAAGUUUUGUCCUCAUCCUUGGCUGGAAAAGAAUAAAAACAUCAGAGUAGUUUGAAUGUAUGCUUGUUUCAAAAAUCGUGAUAGUGUCAAUCUAUUUUUCUAUGUUUCCUCUGACUGUAUGAAUCAAGACAACAUGGAUGUGUGAGGCGAUGAACUGCACAGCUGUCCAUGCCUUAUAAGAAUAAAAUGAGCUCCUCUGCUGUCGUCA